UUUCCCAGACAGGGUAACAGGAAUGGAAUUGUCUUUUGUUUCACUGAAACUCUGAAUUUAUAACCUGAUUUUUGUGGACCUGUGGGCUCAAAUGAGAGAGGUCCAAGUCCAAGAUUUUUUAUUUUAUUUAUUUAUUUAAUUAUUUAUUUAUUUAUUUAUUUAUUUUUCGUUUUUCGUUUUCUUUUUCAUUUUUUUUUUUUUU
rnacentral:lncRNA from 1 species